rnacentral:rRNA from 1 species
UCAGAUUGAUCCUGGCUCAGGAUGAACGCUAGCUACAGGCUUAACGCAUGCAAGUCGAGGGGAAACGACAUCGAAAGCUUGCUUUUGAUGGGCGUCGACCGGCGCACGGGUGAGUAACGCGUAUCCAACCUGCCCACCACUUGGGGAUAACCUUGCGAAAGUAAGACUAAUACCCAAUGACGUCUCUAGAAGACAUCUGAAGGAGAUUAAAGAUUUAUCGGUGAUGGAUGGGGAUGCGUCUGAUUAGCUUGUUGGCGGGGUAACGGCCACCAAGGCGACGAUCAGUAGGGGUCCUGAGAGGAAGGUCCCCCACAUUGGAACUGAGACACGGUCCAAACUCCUACGGGAGCA